UACGUAGGGUGCGAGCGUUAAUCGGAAUUACUGGGCGUAAAGCGUGCGCAGGCGGUCUGUUAAGACCGAUGUGAAAUCCCCGGGCUUAACCUGGGAACUGCAUUGGUGACUGGCAGGCUUUGAGUGUGGCAGAGGGAGGUAGAAUUCCACGUGUAGCAGUGAAAUGCGUAGAGAUGUGGAGGAAUACCGAUGGCGAAGGCAGCCUCCUGGGCCAACACUGACGCUCAUACACGAAAGCGUGGGGAGCAAACAGG
rnacentral:rRNA from 1 species